UUUAUUAUGAUUAGAAGUAUGAUGAACUUCAGUUGAAGAUAAGGAUAUACAUAAAAUGAAGUAUUUCAUUAUACUGUGUGUAUUUGGAAUUGUUUGGUGUACCAAUUAUCAUUUAAGAAGAAAUACCAAAUGUACCACAUCACAUGACUGUACUUCAUCCGCACCUUGCUGUAGAGAUGCUAACAAUCAAAAACUUCCUCACCAGCUAGGAUACUUACCUGCACCCCUAGAUGGUGCAAUUGGAACUUGUUCCAGUGUUCUUGGAAAGAAAGGUGAUGCGUGUGAUUCUUCUUGUGGAUGCGAAUCAGGU